UUCAGAGUAAUUCCUUUCAGAGAUGUAUAUAUAUAAUUGGCUACUAUAAGCUUGAAAUCCAAUGGGAAAACAACAGUUGUAAUCAAAUUCAUAGCAGAUGAGUGGUUUGGCUCAUAAUAAAAGAAGCAGGCCCAAUUGAAUUAGCUGGAUUGUCCAUUUUUGCAAAUAAAUAGUACAUUAUUGGAAAUGCAAGGCAUUUGGUGUAGUGGGUUCCACAGAAUCCAAUUGGCCCACAGAUAGCAGAGAUGACUAUCUGCAGUAGCAAGCAGCAACCAGAAAACUACCAGUCAAAGCAAAGGAGUGAAUUCAUCUACCAUUCCUGCUCAGAGUUCCUCCUGCCGUGUCCCUGACUUUCCUUGUGAAACCAGAAAUCUUUUCCGCUUUUACUUUUCUAUGUGAAACUUAUGCGGUAGAUGUCCAACACAAUCUCUCAUUCUGACACUUUCUCUUUACACUGAUAAUUCCAAGUCAAUUUGCAAUAUGACAAGGCCUGGCAACAGGAUCAUACAAGCCAAGCUGGUGCUUUUGGGGGACAUGGGAACUGGGAAAACCAGUUUGGUCUUAAGAUUCAUCAAGGGCCAGUUCUUCGAUCAACAGGAACCAACAAUAGGUGCAGCCUUUUUCACACAAAUAUUAUCUUUAGCCGAAGCAACGGUUAAAUUUGAUAUAUGGGACACUGCCGGACAAGAAAGAUAUCAUAGCUUGGCUCCUAUGUAUUAUCGCGGCGCAGCAGCAGCAAUUGUUAUGUAUGAUAUCUCAAGCAUGGAUACAUUCAUUAGAGCCAAAAAAUGGGUUCAAGAACUGCAAAGACAAGGAAAUCCUAAUUUGGUUAUAGCAUUGGUGGCAAACAAAUCCGAUCUAGACUCUAAGAGAGAGGUGCAGAACGAGGAGGGAGAGCAGUCUGCUCAAGAGAAUGGAAUGUUCUUCAUAGAAACAUCUGCAAAAAAUGCGUACAACAUUAAUGAGCUUUUCUAUGAAAUAGGAAAGAGAUUGGCAAGAACUCACUCUCCAAAACCUACUGGUGUGAAUCUAAACAAUGAGACACAAAGUAGAACAAGAAAACUACUUUGUUGCGCCGAGUGAUUAGCCCCAUAUCAGGAAUCCCAGUUUAAACAUAAUCACAAGCCCUUUUGCAUUUAUGCAAAAAAAAAAAAUGUUCAAUUGUUUUUGAAACAGGUGAUCAUUGCUUACUUAUGGUGCGUUCAAAUUGCAUUGUAAUGAUCCACUGCAAAUUCUUCGUCUAUACAACUUCAGUGGGACCGAUGAGCCUGAUCCCUCUCUCGAUACUCAAUUCCUUAAUGUAUUGAGGAUACUAUGCAAGAACAGAACAUCAUCGUCGUACUCGCCAUCAUCAUCGUCAUCAACACUGUCAACUUUGUUUGAUUGCUCAUUAUCUUCCGGUAAGGAUCACCAUCUUCAUCUUCCAAGAAGCUAAGAAGUAGAGGUGCAAUGACUGUUCCAUCACUUUACUUGCAGAAUUCAGAGUUGUCCUUACUUGAGGAUCCAGGAAGCAACCUGGCGUACGAGGAACCUGGACUAGAUUUUGGCCGUAGUAAGUCUGCUACAAGGCAGAGGAAUCCUAAUUUCCAAUCAACAACUAAUGUCUGGAGAAGAAACUGCAAAAUGGUGAGAAGGGAAAGUGAAUUACCUGUUGAGAUUCCCCUACACAGGUUUGGGAGUUGCUCUGGCGAAUUUCAACUUUCAGGAACUAGGAUGGAUUUUUGUUGUUCUCUUGUAAAUGUUGCGAUAAUUCGGCUUGAUCUAAAUAAUUUUUUAAUUGUUAAAUUAUUUAGUGGUUUGAGCUUGCUAUGGAAAACCCACCAUAUGGGAUUUCACAAAUGCAGUAUCCAGAUUAGAAUGACACUGUAAAAGUCUAUUUCAGCAAAUGCUAUAAUGGAAGUGAACCAUCUAUGCUAAUUACUUGGCUUUCUUG